CGCUGGCGGCGUGCUUAAUACAUGCAAGUCAACUUGACUUAGAUAGCAAUAUCGAAAAGUAGGGUGGCGCACGGGUGCGUAACGCGUAGGUAAUCUGCCCUGAGGUCUGACAUAACCCGUCGAAAGGCGGGCUAACAUCAGAUGAUAUAUAAUCACGACAUCGUGGAAAUAUCAAAUCCUCGGAGCCUUGGGAUGAGCCUGCGUCUGAUUAGGUAGUUGGCGGAGUAAUAGCCCACCAAGCCUACGAUCAGUAGCUGGUCUGAGAGGAUGAUCAGCCACACUGGAACUGAGACACGGUCCAGACUCCUACGGGAGGCAGCAGUAAGGAAUAUUGCUCAAUGGGGGAAACCCUGAAGCAGCAACGCCGCGUGAAGGAUGAAAUACUUUGUAUGUAAACUUCUGUAAGAUGGGAAAAAUAUUCUCCUCGGGAGAAUUGAUUGUACCAUCAGAGUAAGCCCCGGCUAACUACGUG
rnacentral:rRNA from 1 species